CCUACGGGAGGCAGCAGUGAGGAAUAUUGGUCAAUGGCCGGAAGGCUGAACCAGCCAAGCCGCGUGAGGGAGGACGGCGCUGAGCGUCGCAGACCUCUUUUGCCGGGGGACAAAAGGCCGGACUCGUCCGGCCCUGAGGGUACCCGGAGAAAAAGCAUCGGCUAACUCCGUGCCAGCAGCCGCGGUAAUACGGAGGAUGCGAGCGUUAUCCGGAUUCAUUGGGUUUAAAGGGUGCGCAGGGGGGCGGUCAAGCCGGCGGUAAAAUCGCGGGGCUCAACCCCGCCCAGCCGUCGAAACUGGGGGCCUUGAGUGCGGGGGAGGCAUGCGGAAUGCGCGGUGUAGCGGUGAAAUGCAUAGAUAUCGCGCAGAACCCCGAUUGCGAAGGCAGCGUGCCG
rnacentral:rRNA from 1 species